rnacentral:rRNA from 1 species
GACGAACGCUGGCGGCGUGCCUAAUACAUGCAAGUCGAGCGAAGUUUUUCUGGUGCUUGCACCGGAAAAACUUAGCGGCGAACGGGUGAGUAACACGUAAGGAACCUGCCUCAUAGACUGGGACAACUAUUGGAAACGAUAGCUAAUACCGGAUAACAGCAUUAACUGCAUGGUUGAUGUUUAAAAGUUGGUUUUGCUAACACUAUGAGAUGGCUUUGCGGUGCAUUAGCUAGUUGGUGGGGUAAAGGCCUACCAAGGCGACGAUGCAUAGCCGACCUGAGAGGGUGAUCGGCCACACUGGGACUGAGACACGGCCCAGACUCCUACGGGAGGCAGCAGUAGGGAAUCUUCCGCAAUGGGCGAAAGCCUGACGGAGCAACGCCGCGUGAGUGAAGAAGGAUUUCGGUUCGUAAAGCUCUGUUGUUAGGGAAGAAUGAUUGUGUAGUAACUAUACACAGUAGAGACGGUACCUAACCAGAAAGCCACGGCUAACUACGUG